GACGAACGCUGGCGGCGUGCCUAAUACAUGCAAGUAGAAGCUAGUUGCGAACGGGUGAGUAAUGUAUCGGAACGUGCCCAGUAGCGGGGGAUAACUACGCGAAAGCGUAGCUAAUACCGCAUACUAUUGGAGCGGCCGAUAUCGGAUUAGCUAGUUGGUGGGGUAACGGCUCACCAAGGCGACGAUCCGUAGCUGGUUUGAGAGGACGACCAGCCACACUGGGACUGAGACACGGCCCAGACUCCUACGGUAGGCAGCAGUGGGGAAUUUUGGACAAUGGGGGAAACCCUGAUCCAGUCAUCCCGCGUGUGCGAUGAAGGCCUUCGGGUUGUAAAGUACUUUCAGCGAGGAGGCGUUACUCGCAGAAGAAGCACCGGCUAACUCCGUGCCAGCCGCCGCGGUAAUUC
rnacentral:rRNA from 1 species